rnacentral:piRNA from 1 species
AACAGUGUAGAUAGAGAGCCCACUGAACUUAAGAAUCCC